CCUACUUCCGAGUUCGGGUUCUGAAUGAAGUACAGAGAAAUUCUCACGGUCGAAGUUGCUCUCCUCAAUUUUCGUACUCAGCGGUUGCCAGAUAUUUUGACGUUCGGUACACUGGUACUGGAGCCUUUUCGAAAAAGAUUUCUUCUUUUUGGAAUUCCCGUCGGAGCGCAGUCCCAGGUACGGUGCCAUAAUAGUUUUACUAAUUGUCGAC
rnacentral:lncRNA from 1 species